rnacentral:rRNA from 1 species
UCUCGAAUUCGAUUAGAGUUUGAUCAUGGCUCAGGACGAACGCUGGCGGCGUGCUUAACACAUGCAAGUGGAGCGACGAACCAGGGCUUGCCCUGGGGCAGAGCCGCGAACGGGUGAGUAACACGUGGGUCACCUGCCUCGAUGACUGGGACAACCCGAGGAAACUCGGGCUAAUACCAGAUGUGGUCCCUCCUCUUAAGGGGAGUGACUAAAGGGAGCUUCGGCCCCCGCUUUGGGAGGGGCCCGCGGCGCAUUAGCUUGUUGGUGAGGUAACGGCUCACCAAGGCAUCGACGGGUAGCUGGUCUGAGAGGACGAUCAGCCACACUGGGACUGAGACACGGCCCAGACUCCUACGGGAGGCAGCAGUGGGGAAUCUUGCGCAAUGGGCGAAAGCCUGACGCAGCAACGCCGCGUGGGGGGAUGAAGGCUCUCGGGUUGUAAACCCCUUUCAGCAGGGACGAAAUUGACGGUACCUGCAGAAGAAGCUCUGGCUAACUACGUGCCAGCAGCCGCGGUAACACGUAGGGGGGCAAGCGUUGUCCGGAUUUAUUGGGCGUAAAGAGCUCGUAGGCGGCUCAGUAAGGUCGGGGUGGUCAAAUCCUCAGGCUCAACCUGGGGGCUUCCACCCGGAUACUGCUGGUGGCCUAGAAGUUCCGGGUAAGGGGAGCGUGGAAUUCCCUGGGUGUUAAC